rnacentral:rRNA from 1 species
AGAGGUGGCAAGCGUUGUUCGGAAUUACUGGGCGUAAAGGGCGCGUAGGCGGUUCCGUAAGUUCCGUGUGAAAUCCCCCGGCUCAACCGGGGAAUGGCGCGGAAAACCGCGGGGCUUGAGUUCGGGAGAGGGAAGCGGAAUUCCGGGUGUAGCGGUGAAAUGCGUAGAUAUCCGGAGGAACACCGGUGGCGAAGGCGGCUUCCUGGACCGACACUGACGCUGAGGCGCGAAAGCUAGGGGAGCAAACGGGAUUAGAUACCCCGGUAGUCCUAGCUGUAAACGAUGAGUGCUGGGUGUAGGGGGUAUCAACCCCCCCUGUGCCGAAGCUAACGCAUUAAGCACUCCGCCUGGGGAGUACGGUCGCAAGGCUG